AUGUUAACUUUGUCAAAUAGUUAAAUAACCAGAGAAAUCAAUAUCUGCUUCAGGAAUUGAAUUUAAUAAAAUAUUUUUAUAUGCAUUCCUGUCUGGAAUGAGUCUUAGAUAACAGAUAAGCUUUGGGUACUUAUCGUGUUUAGGGGCUCUAGACAGCAUUCCUGUAUUGCUACGUUAAAAGUGAAGAAAGCCCUUUAAAAUGAAUUGUUGUUUCAUAUUAUCAGUAAAUUUUUGUUGAGCAUAUUAUGAAAUGUUACAGGGGUUUUAAAUAUACUACUGGAUUUUAGUAAUGUUUUUUCAGGUUAAAUUACAUUGCAGUAGUUUCAGGGAAAUAUUUCUACAUAUUUCCUAGGACAUAUUUUUAAAUUCUGUCUUACCAUUUAUGAAGACAUAUUUGAACAUAUUUCUGUUUUCUUUUGUAUUUUCACUGAGUCGUGUAAAUGCUAUAUGAAAAAAGUACUUUGUGUUAUUUCUCUGUAUUUACAAUUUCCUGAGUGCAAUUCCUUGCUUUAAGAGUCUGUAUUUUCAUGCUUAGGCUUUUAGACCAGCUGCCAAAAGUCAAUGUUUCUCUCUUGUGACAUCUUUUUGGAGUGUUACAUAACAUUGAGCAACAUUCCUCAUCCAAUCAGAUGACAGCUUAUAAUUUAGCCAUGUGUAUAGCCCAAACAUUCUUUACCUGUCUACUUCCUGCAACUCAGAAGUAGUAAAUGAGUUCACCAAAAAGAUAAUGAGAUGUCUCAUUUUUAUUCCCUGAGGAGCAGUGUUCCCACUUUGAACCUCAAAUUCAGGAUAUUAAUUCUGAUGAACCACUUUUUUAAGCUGCACACUUUACUCACACCUCUUAAGCAGCAGUGUCACUAAUCCUAUUCUAGGAGUGGCAGAAUGUAGAAGAUAUAUGAGAAGGUAGGUUGUUAAAUAGGAAAUUGAAAAUAGUGAGUCAUUUCUUUCCUAUCUAGGAGACAAAACACUAGAUUGACUAUACCACAAAGAGAUAAGAUAGUGGUGGUGUGACAUGAUGGGGGGAAAAAAAAGCUGUUCUUUGGAGUUUGACAAGCCAAGAUUCAACUCUCAGUCUCAUCACUGAGGGAUGUGUAACCUUAGGCAAAGAUUCCAAGCCACGGUUUCCUCAUCUCAACAAUGGCAGUGGUGAUAAGUCCCAGCUCCUCUGGUCAUUACUGAUACUUCAUUGGUGGUUUGAAUUAUAUGAACACUCAUGGCUCCACACAUAUUGCCUUUCUCUAUCAAUUGGGCCUCACAAUUGGCAUUCAGGGAACUACCUGGUUACUAUUUUGUCUCUGCUACUGGAAUGAAAAGCUAGUAAAACUUUAUAGGAUAUCCUAAGAUCACCCAGAGAGGAAUCCUGAGACCAGACAAUGCAUGGAGAUGGACUGUGGUUAGAUGAGGGGACAUUUUCUUUCCUGCUGCCUCCUUUCACAAAAGACCCUCAGAGAAUCUCUGCUUCCCAAGUUUAAGAUACUUAACAAGUAAGUCUACUUCACAAGUUUUUAUCUAUCUGGUGCUUUAUAAAUUUAAUUAGAGUAUAUAUAUCUUUACCCCAAACAUCCUAUAUGAGUUGCUUGAAAAUUAUCCUAUUUUUAAAGAUAUGACCAGUGAUAUAAAAUAUAAUUUAAACUUGGCUAUAAAUUAUAAAUUUAGCCCACUGAUUAUAAUUAUUUUAACAUGCGUGCCCUAAAUGCUCUUGAAAGUCAUAGUUAUUUCUUAGAGAAAACUGGUUUAUAUCUUUCUGUAUCUACUCUGAAUAUUUUACAGAAUUCUGAAUUUCAUGUUUUUUUCACUCCAACAUUCAUAGAGGAAAUGUGAUUUAUAACUGUGCCACAUGAAAAAAACACCCUCUUUGGCCCUUUUGUGUUACAGGUUUCUGUUGUACAACUUCUCAUUGAAAACUGCCUCAGCAUUUUUGGAGAAGACAUCACUUCCCUCUUGGGGAAGAGCUGAAUGGCUUGUGAAAACAAUGAUGGCUUUAGAUUUGAAACUGGGAGUUCAGAACUCAAAUUUCACUUGCUAAAGAACAAAUAAGCCUUUUAUCACUGCUUGAAAUGACUUUGCUUGUUUAUUGAGACGUUCAUGGUCGAUUUUCCCUAAAAAGAAGGCUCUAUAUGUUAUAAUUUGGAGUAUGGUAUUGUAAAAGCUGGAGAAGAAGUUGUGAAACAGAGAAGAUUCACCUUUGCUGAUUGAAUUGCAUUCAGCAUUUUCUUUUACAUAUCCAAGGAACAAUUUCUUUGGAAGGACUAAACCUUCUCUGGAAGGACUAAACCAGAAAAAUUAAGAUUGACAUUGAGGACCAAGGCAAAAAGGAAAAAUCAGUGUUUUCCUAGAUUCUAUGGACAAAUACAACAUAGAACAAACAUGGAAAAUAGAAUUGGCAUUCACUACAGAUCUUUAGAGCACUGGUUCAUUUGGCCAGUGUGGAAAGAAGUACAGAAAAAUGUGAAAGGCAAUGCCCAGUGCUUUCUGAAUAAAAGGCUUUUUACACUAAUCCCUCAAAGUCUUACAUGUUGCCUUUGUGGAAUAAAAAGUGUGUGUGUGUGUGUGUGUGUGUAUUUAACUCAGUAUAUCAUAGUAAUUAAUCCACACCAUCAAUGAAAACUAGUUUCCUGAUACAUGAGCCUAUGAGUUUUUUUCUCUGGAACAAAAUAUGAUACUCAUCUUACGUACCUUUCCUCUGUUUUUGGAAACCUUUAAUAUUAAGUAUACCAGUAUGUUCAGACUGAUUAAUGAUUACACAGUCUUACUCCCAGCUGUGGUAAAGGCCAGUAUCAGAAAGUCUAAUUGCCUUUUACUAACUCUAGAUUAUACUGUUGGGUCCUUUCACAGUUUAUCAGUCCCUAGGAUCUUUCUUCAAAAUUAAGAAAUAAAUUGCCUUUCUCAAGGAGCUAUUUUGCUUAAAUAUCCUGAGGGGAACAUUAUCAUUUACUAACUUAUUUCCAUAUGGCAAAAAUCUCUUCUAUGAGUCACAAUUGACAAAUUAGUCAAAUCUCAGCUUUACUUCCUUUUUUUUAAAAAAAAAAUCUUCUCUUCAAAUUUGAGAGAUUUUGCAUGUGUUACUUUCUGGCUCAAAAACUCAUAGACGCAUUUCAACGUACAUAUUUUUUGCCCCUUUUAUUCUGCAGGUUGGAUAAAAUGUUUAAAAUAAUUUUCACAUUAAUGCAGUUAUCCCCAAAUAUAUCACAUCAAUAUUCCACUUUUGGCAUGCUGAAUAAAAAUAGUAUAUUCCAGUAUACACUCAUGAAUAAGUCCAAGCUGUGAAGUCGUAUCUUAAAAAUGUACCAAGUAUUAGCCUGGACAAAAUAGCGAGACUCAGUAUCUGCAAAAAAUUUUAAAAGUAGCUGGGCACAGUGGCACAU